UACAGAGGGUGCGAGCGUUAAUCGGAAUUACUGGGCGUAAAGCGUGCGUAGACGGUAGCGUAAGUCAGAUGUGAAAGCCCCGGGCUCAACCUGGGAACUGCAUUUGAGACUGCUCUGCUCGGGUGCGGAAGAGGGAAGCGGAAUUUCCGGUGUAGCGGUGAAAUGCGCAGAUAUCGGGAAGAACACCCGUGGCUAAGGCGGCUCUCUAGUACGGUACUGACGCUGAGGAGCGAAAGCGUGGGGAGCGAACAGG
rnacentral:rRNA from 1 species